UACAGGGGGGUGCAAACGUUGCUCGGAAUUAUUGGGCGUAAAGCGCGCGUAGGCGGCCGCUUAAGUCGGAUGUGAAAGCCCCUGGCUCAACUGGGGAGGGUCACGCGAUACUGAUCGACUCGAAGGCAGGAGAGGGUAGUGGAAUUCCCGGUGUAGUGGCGAAAUGCGUAGAUAUCGGGAGGAACACCAGUGGCGAAGGCGACUACCUGGCCUGUUCUUGACGCUGAGGCGCGAAAGCUAGGGGAGCAAACGGG
rnacentral:rRNA from 1 species